rnacentral:rRNA from 1 species
CCUACGGGACGCAGCAGUGGGGAAUAUUGCACAAUGGGGGAAACCCUGAUGCAGCAACGCCGCGUGAGUGAAGAAGUAUUUCGGUAUGUAAAGCUCUAUCAGCAGGGAAGAAGAUGACGGUACCUGAGUAAGAAGCCCCGGCUAACUACGUGCCAGCAGCCGCGGUAAUACGUAGGGGGCAAGCGUUAUUCGGAUUUACUGGGUGUAAAGGGAGCGUAGGCGGGACGGCAAGUCAGAUGUGAAAACUGAGGGCUCAACUUUCAGACUGCAUUUGAAACUGCUGUUCUUGAGUGAAGUAGAGGUAA